AUGGAUGGUCACCAAGUUGCGAUGAACAGGACGAAGGCGCUGGAGGCCUUGUCCCCCUUCCUGGAGAAUCCCCGGCAGAUAGUCAUCCAGAAUGAAGCUUUCGUGGUUCUGGCAGCCGCGAUGUUGUUCCUGCAACUCAUGCUCGGUCCUUGGCGCCGGCGGUCAGGCCAUUUGUUUGUACAAGGUACUCUCUGGGUAGCUUACACGGUCUCCUUCCCUCUGAUUACAUACACCCUUGGUCAGAUGGUGACCUCGCCCGUGAAGAACAUGCUGUAUCCUGUUUGGGCUGUGAUCCUCCUCUGGGCAUCCGGGCGUGCCAACGCCUUCACAGCUUAUAAUAUCGAAGACAACAAGCAGUGGAAGCGGUACCUCUUUGAGAUCCUUCAGUAUUUUGUGUACCUAGCCAUUAUACUCAAGCUGUUUCAUGCUGGGCCAGGGCUUACUAUUCCUGAGCGAAUAAUUUCUACCCAGCCAAUUACUCUUUCUCUUAGUGUGCUAACGAGCCUGGUGCUUAUGGCCAAUCUGCACAGAGUACUUGCUGGUUGGAUGGUGACGAAUUCUACUCCCAGCAAAUUAGUAGCCGACUACAUGAGGGCUCAGGUUCAGGUCAACACAAGAUCUAGAGCUGCUCAAGAGGAGACUUUCACAAUGAGCGGCUGCAAAUACCUUGUCUGCCCUCCUUUUAAUGACCUAAGGAACUCACGUGUUGGCCAUCGUGUCAUCACCAUCGGGACAAUCUGGGACACAUUUGAUGGUGACAGCCUGGUAAACAAGCAGCUCAGAGAUGUAUGCCUCUCGUUUGCUCUGUCUAAGUUGUUGCUCCGCCGCUACUUUGGAUUGGAUUGUGCUGAAGCCGGACUACCCAAGACGCUCCAGUUUGCACUUGAGGGUUUGUUGCCGGAAGUGGAUCAAGUCAACCAUUACUCAAGAGCAUUUCAUGUCAUCGAAGUAGAAUUGGGCUUCCUCUAUGACUUCUUUUUCACAAAGCAUGCAACUCUCCUUUCCUUUGACGGCUCUUUCCUUUUUGCUCUUAUUGUCAAAUUGAUUUGCGUACCUUUUGCCGGAGUAUGUUUGAUUGCAUAUCCCCCAACUGUCAACACAUUUAACCCAAUAAUCGAGGUUGGCACAAGAAGGGUUGAUGUUACUGUUACAGUCGUAAUUAUGGGAGCUCUCCUUCUAUUUGAUGUUCUGCAGGCUAUACACUAUUUGACAUCAGAUUGGGCCACCAUUUCACUCGUAUGCAGCAAUAUCAGAUUCAGAAGACAUACAAGCAGACUCAUUUCGUCUAUUAUUUCAUCCACCAUUCCCUCCAUCUUUCGGUUUCUUAGAAGGUUUGAGUUUGCCGGUUAUCUUGGCAGGAGAAUUAUUAUUUUUGGAUAUUGGCAAAAUAAGAUGGGUCAGUCAUCUGUAAUCGGAGGCAACUUGCUUGUCAAUUACCUCUAUGUGAGCCAUGAUAGUGCAUAUGCCGAGUCGAAGACUGUUUUAGUGCUUCCAAUAUACAACCUCAUCCAUUCAAUGAUGUUCUCGAUGAAGAAUUUCGUGCCGGUUUCUGAUUUGGUCAAGAGCAAUAUAAUUUUCUGCUUGCGCAUAUAUGGCAACGGUGGCGGUCCUCUUACUAAUGGAAAAGCAGCAUUGGAACGUAAUAAAGUUCUAGAAGAUUUCUCCUCCACAUUAGAGAAUGAUAGCCAGAUAACAGUGAUGCUUAUUUGGCACAUCGCAACUGAGUACUGCAAUAUUGCAUCUUCCGAUGGGGCACAGGGGCUUCACAGUGGUGCACAGCAAGUUGCCACCACCUUAUCCAAAUAUUGUGCCUAUUUAAUGUACUUUGUUCCAGAACUGCUUGCCGAGAACUCUACAGACACACUAUUCAUCGUGCAUGAAGUGCUGGAGCAAGUAGAGGAUGCGUUGGGUGGUGACAAACCGACUAAGGAUAGAUUGCUCAGGGUCAUCCAGGAUUCCGACGGCCCUGACAACCAUUCUACCGUAAUUGACAUUCCUCCAGUCAGCAGCAACAUGGAUAACAUCAUCCACGACUCCAUCAGCAGCAACAACAACACGGAUAACAUCAUCCACGACUCCAGGGGCAGCAACAACACUGAUAACAUCAUCCACAACUCCAGUGGCAACAACGGCCAUACUGCCACCGCCCAAGACUCGGCCACCAACGGCAGUGAAGAUAGCAUCCUCAUCAAAGGAUUGAAGCUAGGGAGGGAUCUGGAAGCGAAAGGUGUGGACAAACGCUGGAAGGUGCUGGCAGAAUUCUGGGCUGAGACCAUCAUCUACAUCACACCGUCGGACAAAGUCGCAGAGCACAUGGAACGCCUUGCGCAAGGAGGGGAAUUUCUUACUCAUGUCUGGGCUCUCCUCACGCAUGCAGGCAUCCUAAAGCGUGACCACAUGAUCCCAAUACCAGACCAGAUACCAACCCCAGACCAGAUGCCAACUCCAGACCAGAUGCCAACACCAGACCAGACACCAACAAACCCAGAAGAUUGUGUGUAG
rnacentral:rRNA from 1 species